rnacentral:rRNA from 1 species
CCUACGGGUGGCAGCAGUGAGGAAUAUUGGUCAAUGGCCGGAAGGCUGAACCAGCCAAGCCGCGUGAAGGACGAAGGUGCCAAGCAUUGUAAACUUCUUUUGUCAAGGGACAAAAUCAGGCACGAGAGCCUGACCGUGUGUACUUGAAGAAUAAGCAUCGGCUAACUCCGUGCCAGCAGCCGCGGUAAUACGGAGGAUGCGAGCGUUAUCCGGAUUUAUUGGGUUUAAAGGGUGCGUAGGGGGGGAAUUAAGUCAGCGGUUAAAGGUCGGGGCUCAACCCCGGGGGAGCCGUUGAAACUGGCUGUCUUGAGAUGUUGAGAGGUAGGCGGAAUGCGCGGUGUAGCGGUGAAAUGCUUAGAUAUUGCGCAGAACUCCGAUUGCGAAGGCAGCAUACC